GCAGUCGACGAGAAAGUGGUCUUCGGACCGCAAGUAGAGUGGCGCACGGGUGAGUAACGCGUAGGUAAUCUACCCUUAUACCUGGGAUAACAUUGGGAAACUGGUGCUAAUACCGGAUACACUUUACUGCUGCGGGGCAGUAGAGGAAAGGUGGCCUCUUGGUCAAAGCUACCGUAUAGGGAUGAGCCUGCGUACCAUUAGCUAGUAGGUGGGGUAACGGCCCACCUAGGCGACGAUGGUUAGCGGGUCUGAGAGGAUGAUCCGCCACACUGGAACUGGAACACGGACCAGACUCCUACGGGAGGCAGCAGUGAGGAAUAUUGCGCAAUGGGGGAAACCCUGACGCAGCGACGCCGCGUGAGUGAGGAAGGCCUUCGGGUCGUAAAGCUCUGUCAGAAGGGAAGAAGUGUUAGAUGGUUAAUACCCAUGUAAUUUGACGGUACCUUCAGAGGAAGCACCGGCUAACUCCGUGCCAGCAGCCGCGGUAAUACGGAGGGUGCGAGCGUUGUUCGGAAUUACUGGGCGUAAAGGGCGCGUAGGCGGCUGGAUAAGUCAGAUGUGAAAUCCCACGGCUUAACUGUGGAAGUGCAUUUGAAACUGUCCGGCUUGAGUAUCGGAGGGGAGUGUGGAAUUCCCGGUGUAGAGGUGAAAUUCGUAGAGAUCGGGAGGAACACCGGUGGCGAAGGCGACACUCUGGACGAAUACUGACGCUGAGGCGCGAAAGCGUGGGGAGCAAACAGGAUUAGAUACCCUGGUAGUCCACGCCGUAAACGAUGUGAACUAGAGGUAGGUGGUGUUGAUCCCAUCUGUCUCGCAGCUAACGCAUUAAGUUCACCGCCUGGGGAGUACCGGUCGCAAGAAUUAAAACUCAAAGGAAUUGACGGGG
rnacentral:rRNA from 1 species